rnacentral:piRNA from 1 species
UCAUCUACAGGCCAGCCUGGCCACAUGA